AUCACUGUGAACCCUGAAGUCUCCUUUCAACCAUCACACUCUAGUUGUCACCUACUAAUAUUUUCCCUUUCUGUACUACACACAGUGAAAAUUAUCAUCACUAUUCCUUCUGCAAGUCCCCAGAUUGAGGGUUCAAGAGUAACACCCCAGAAGACUGUCUUUGCUGGCAAGGAAUUUAUUUGAGUCCUUUGGAGUAUUUUACCUGGAGUGCUGUUAAUGUUCUUCAAAAUAUGACCUGUCCAUCAGAUGUGGCUAAAUGAAACUAUCACAAAAACUAAAUCUACAGAUUCAACAAAUAUCAAGCAUCAGCUUGGAGAGUAAUGCACUGAGUUAUAAG
rnacentral:lncRNA from 1 species